UGUACUGCUCAGCUAAGACUCCAGGUGCAAAGUUCUGAUGGAGCCAGCAGUGAAUGCAAUAGAAAGGGAAUGAGCUCACUUCUCAUUUUGGAAAACAGAGUUCAUUUAUCUCAUAUGCUCCAAACAGACAAUCUACCAGCCAUGACCAAAACAAUCAAGUCUCAGGAGAUCUGUGGAGGUGGGAAGACAGCUGGUGGUUUACAGCACCUGAAACAGGGCCCAAAUCAGGGAAUUGUGGAGCUGAGAGCCUUGGGAACAGAUACUUCUUUUUACUGGUGAAAAUGUUCUGCCUCUGUUUCCUGACACCACACUACAAAGUGGUGAGUUUCCAGCUCUCUAUCACUGCUGCAGUGCUACUGCAAAUGACAGAAGCAGUGAUUUGGUGGGAGGGAUGGUGAGGCACAAGUAGAAGAAAGCAGUUAAGUCAAUUCCCUUCUGUAUCCAAGGAUAAAUAUUUUACCCCUCAGAUAAACCUCCUUCCCCUAACAGCAGUCUUUGAGAAAUUCCUUCCUUUUCUAAAAUCUAGAAUUAUACUAAUUUACACCACUCUCUCAGUAUCCAGAGCUCUUUGCCACAUUGCUCGUCGUUAAAACUUAAAGCAGCUUCUUCUUUUGAACCUCUCCUAUGCAGUCACUUCUUUCUGUCUCUCCAAGACUAGACAAUAAAAUCACAAACCAUUGAGCUAAGGGAGGAAAAAAAACCAAAACCCAAACAACCCAGAUCUGGCAUUUUAUCUGCCUGUACAUAUAAAGGAUACAUACGCUGAAAAACAAAGCUUGCCCAAUCAUGGGAUCUGGCAAUGCUAGGGCCCUGUGAUCCAGAAAAUGCCUUUAAUUAUCACCUCACCAAUCAUGCUACAAGUUACUGCUGUAAUUUUUUUGCUUAAGUUCCCUCAGGGAAUUAAAGAGAUCAUGAUAUUAAUCAGAAGGUAUGUAGGAGGGAGGGGGCAGAAUGCUAGAAUUACAUGUAUGUAAGUCCCUUAAGGUUUGAAUAAAGAAAUGAGAUUUAGAAUCCCACUGUCAGAGCAACUGAAGCCUUGCAUGCUGCAAGCUUCAGCCCUCUGACCUACACAGCCAUGGCAUUAUCAUAUCUGAUUUUCCCAGGAUAGUUCAUCUCAGCUGCUAAACUUCAUCACUCUCUGCUAUGUUUACCCAUCAUCUGGAUUUGUCACUUCUGAACUUUCCAGACUAGAACUGAAUAAACCCGCUGUCACACUCACCCCUCCAUAACAGCCUGAAGCCUGGAAGCCUAACUGGCUGAAUCCCAGAAAGGCAGAACAAAAGUUAAUACAGCUGGGGGAGGAGAGUGAGACAGAGCUCUGAAAGUGCAGUGAGUUUCAGAGUGCAGUUCACAGCAACAUGGUCGCGUUAGGAUGCUGCAGUCUGAGAGGCAGAUUAUUCCCACAGUUGACAUUUUUUCCCAUAAAAUAUGUGUUGGUAAAGAAACAGUGCCAUGACAAUUUAGUUCUCAUACCCAGGAAACUGUCACAGUGCAUGCAAAAGCAGCAGCACUCCAGUCUGCAAAUGAACCUUAAAUUCAGUCACGGUACAGCAGGGCAAUGGGGGUGGGAGGGAGAGAGAGUCCAGUUUCUGUUGCACAAUGAGUUCUCCAGCAAAGUGGCCAAUAAAAGCACCAAUUAGCACUAAUUUACCCAGGGAAUUUCUGACACGGCUGCCCAUCUCCCAAGGAGAGGGCUGAUGCUGUGUGCCCACAUGGCAGAUGGAACAGGACAGUAGGUGUAUGCAGGCUAGUUUUCAAUAGCACUGACCUCUUCCUUGGUAAAUAUAUCCUGCUAAGAAGCCACAGGGAGCAUUGCACUGCUACAGUAAGAUCACUGCCAGCACCUGAGUUUGCUCAAUUAACACUAGUGCUAACAGCCUACACUGGGGUGGAUUUUCUCAAUAUACUGGGCAUAAAAUGUCUAAAUGAAUAACAAUUUCUGAUCACAGCCUAGUAACAUGGCUUUGAACUAGUGAAUAAAGUUAUACAUCCUUUUUACUCCUGAGCACAGGAGUAUUUUAGUAGUAUCUUUCCAAAUAAUUUUCAAAUUUAGUGACAACUUCUUUACACAGUGAGUUGAAACAUGCAAUAAUUAAAACCCACAGUGGGGCUGAUAACUACAAGGACUAUGUUUAAAAAGCAGUGUUAAAUAGUACUUCAGGUUAAGAUUCAAACCGAGCAAACUACUUUACUUGCUUGAUGACCAUCAUAAUUUCUUUGAAAAUUUAGCCUUCAGCAUUCUUAACACUGGUCCCAUACAUUACAGUUGCAAGAAUUCCCUUUAGGUGUAAAUAAAAACAACCAUCUUAGAGCUGUAAAGCUUGGCUCAUGAGCCAGAGUUAUCAAAACUGAAAUUCCAGAAGGAAGCAAUCCUCCUUCAGCCUGCAACACGGAAACAGAGGUCAGCCAAACAUUUGGGGGAUAGAGAUGACUGUUUGCAAAUUACAGCUGUUCACAUCUGGAGUUCAGAUUUGGCCAAGUGUUUAAUACUAUCAAUCACAAAAGCUGAACUGGAAGAAUGUUUUGGUUGUGUGACUAAGAACAUAAAAGUUAGAAAAUAUUAAAUGCAAAAAACCGCUAUGUGCAAUUUCAACUCUGCCUUUCAAACACAACAACGGAUUCAAUUAUUUUUCCCAAUGGGCAUCAUUACCGUUGACUGUGGCAUUUCUUGACUGGUAUUUAACCACAAGUCUGCACUUGCCAAUAUUGGUUUCUCUGGCUGUAUCUAUUUCUCAGCACAGAGUGGCUCCUGACACGAGGAUGCAACCUCUUCUCUAACAAAGUAUCUUCUGCGCUGGCCCAUCAAACCUUACAUAUUGACCUAGCAGAUGCAACUGAGUAAUCAGAGCACCUUCAAAACCCAGCUUGGAGUAGCUUCUGAACAUAAAUUAAAUGGACGCUUUCACUUUUUUUUUUCAACAGCCAGUAUACCCAUGUAUAUAAAAUGCAUUCCCUCUCACUGUAAGAUGUAUGACAAAAUAUUUUAGUACAUGCAGACGCCACAGGGCUCACUGUUCAGAACUGACUCAUCUCCAAUGCUGAAAAUACAUAUAUAUAUAUAUGUACUUAGGCACACACACACACACAGAGGCAGUAUAAAACAUGCAGGAUGUUGAAAUGACUGACAAUUGCAGGGGUCUGGCUUCACUCUCUAACUGAUGCAGACUUUCCAGGAGUUUUCCAGCUAGUCAGUCCUUCUCUUCACAGCCUCGUCGCCCAUCCUAAAGCAAAGGAGGUAUAUGCUUUUUUUCUUAAUCUCAUUCUCAAAAAGGAAUUACUUACUUUAUCUGAAUUAAGCAAAUAAAUUCAAUUUUGGACAACAACAAAGACUGGAAAAUUUCAUCCUGAUAAGUGUUUCUGACUGAUGACAGAGGGUUAGAAGGGAAACAGUUAUACACCCUUAACUAUAGGAGGUUCCUUCCGCUCCUGCUAUAAUGCAAAAUAUUCCAAGAUGUGCCAAAUUUUCACGGUAGUCUGCAUCAGGCAGCGACAAGACAGCAAAGUGCUCUGUGGAGACUAAUGUAUAAAUCCAAAAUGAUCGUUUGACUGCAGUGACUCUUUUCUCCUGAGAUGUAUUACAUUUUUUAAAGUCAGUGAAAAAUAAAAAAAUUGCAAAAUAUCACUUUUAAUCCUUGGACUAAAAAAUGGUUGAAUCCUCCAGAGGCCAG